rnacentral:rRNA from 1 species
AUUGAACGCUGGCGGCAUGCUUUACACAUGCCAGUCGAACGGUAACAGGCCUUCGGGUGCUGACGAGUGGCGAACGGGUGAGUAAUGCACCGGAACGUACCCAGAGGUGGGGGAUAACGCAGCGAAAGCUGUGCUAAUACCGCAUGUGAUCUGAGGAUGAAAGCGGGGGACCGAGCAGGAAUGUUUGGCCUCGCGCCUUUGGAGCGGCCGAUGUCGGAUUAGCUAGUUGGUGGGGUAAAGGCCUACCAAGGCGACGAUCCGUAGCUGGUCUGAGAGGACGACCAGCCACACUGGGACUGAGACACGGCCCAGACUCCUACGGGAGGCAGCAGUGGGGAAUGUUAGACAAUGGGCGCGAGCCUGAUCCAGCAAUGCCGCGUGCGGGAAGAAGGCCUUCGGGUUGUAAACCGCUUUUGGCAGGAACGAAACGGUGUCCGCUAAUACCGGGCGCUAAUGACGGUACCUGCAGAAUAAGCACCGGCUAACUACGUG